UGUGAUUCUGUUGCAACAAAAGAAGUUUCUCAGGACUUGGUUGUGGAGAACAAAUCCAACAAGCGCUGGGGAGAUUACAGCGACAAUGAAGCUGAGAUUGUUGAGGUUUCAAGUUGAAGGAGAAUCACCAGUUUUGUAUUUACCUCAGAUAAUUUUGUUCACGAAUGUUGCUGAGUGGUAGUUUCUUUUGCUGUAGUGCGAG
rnacentral:misc_RNA from 1 species